CAGGCUGAGAUCCAUCUGGCCAAGGUGGACGGCAUUGUAGACGGCGGAGAGGAGCACGCGCCCAGCGGCCACCAUGGUGCCCACCAGCACGUUGAUGAGGAAGAGGAAGAAGGUGGCUGCGUAGAGCACUCGCCUGGAGGUCCUUUGUCCACCGACUCUGAGUCCCUCCUGGCGCUGAGGUCCUCCCACAGCCUUUCCACCUAUCAUGGAAAUCAUGUUUCGAUUAACCUCCUUCCUGUAAAGGGAGAGGCACAGGGUUUUGGAAGACACAGAGGAUCCAGGGGAGAGCAGUGCUGACCCCCAAAGCAGGAAAGGCCCGUGGCUCAUAUUUCUGAUACGGUAACAGGACUCCAAGGAUCGGAGGAGCAGAAGGUUCCUGCCAUGGAGGACAGGCAUGAACACCAGGAAGGCAAGGAUCAUGGUCCCCAGGAAGAAGAUGAUCUGCUGCACCAGGAGCCCUGCAGGAUGGGGA